rnacentral:misc_RNA from 1 species
GAAAUGCGAUAAGUAAUGCGAAUUGCAGAAUUUCCGUGAGUCAUCGAAUCUUUGAACGCACAUUGCGCCCGCCAGUAUUCUGGCGGGCAUGCCUGUUCGAGCGUCAUUUCAACCCUCAAGCCCCCGGGUUUGGUGUUGGGGAUCGGGCUGCGGUUCUACCGCGUCCCGGCCCCGAAAUCUAGUGGCGGUCUCGCUGCAGCCUCCAUUGCGUAGUAGCUAACACCUCGCAACUGGAACGCGGCGCGGCCAAGCCGUUAAACCCCCAACUUCUGAAUGUUGACCUCGGAUCAGGUAGGAAUACCCGCUGAACUUAAGC